GCCAGUAUGGUGAUAUGACCCUCGGCUUGUAACCGAGUGGGUUCGGGUUCAAAUCCCGAGUAAGACA
rnacentral:tRNA from 1 species